AUUGAACGCUGGCGGCAGGCCUAACACAUGCAAGUCGAACGAGUGGCGGACGGGUGAGUAAUUUCUGGGAAACUGCCUGAUGGAGGGGGAUAACACAUGGAAACGGUAGCUAAUACCGCUUACCACAGGAUGUGCCCAGAUGGGAUUAGCUUGUAGGUGGGGUAAAGGCUCACCUGGUCGACGAUCCCUAGCUGGUAUGAGAGGAUGACCAGCCACACUGGAACUGAGACACGGUCCAGACUCCUACGGGAGGCAGCAGUGGGGAAUAUUGGACAAUGGGCGCAAGCCUGAUGCAGCCAUGCCGCGUGUAUGAAGAAGGCCUUCGGGUUGUAAAGUACUUUCAGCGGGGAGGCGUUACCCGCAGAAGAAGCACCGGCUAACUCCGUGCCAGCAGCCGCGGUAAUUC
rnacentral:rRNA from 1 species